AUGUAUAGAGGCAUGAAGAUACCAGCAGUGGCUGCCCUUGCUUUUGUUCUCACCCGAGUCUCGCUAGCAAGUCCUGGUUACUGGGCACAUGAUUGUGAUGGGAACUACACAGUGCCCAGCAGCUACCAGAAGAGCUUGGAGCAGCUGUCUGCAGGGCUGCCCGAUGCGGUAUCCUCCUCCCCAGAUCUCUUUGACAAAAAGGUUCUCGGAUCCUGGGGGAGCAGGGUAUAUGGCCUGGGGCGUUGUCGUCCUGGUACAGAUGCAUCUACAUGCAAGGCAUGUCUCGACGAAGCCUUCCAGGAAGCACAGGUCAUAUGCCCAUUGAGGAAGAGGGUGUACAUGUACUACGAAGUUUGUACCCUAGCAUUCGCCGACGAGGACCUUCCAUCUCACUCGGCCGUGCACAAAGUUGCCACUAAGGUCAAUGGUUCUCAGGUGCCCGCCCAGUGCAGCAAGGUAUUCGACAUGGCUAUCAAUGAAUUGAUCACAUAUUUGGUGAAGAUGGCAGCAGUUUCUCCUCACAUGUCUGCCACGGGGCAGAAAGAGUUAGCAGGAGGUGCUUGCACAUACAGCAUAUAUGGCCUUGCAGAAUGUUUCCCAAAAAUGUCAGCUGCCAACUGUAGUGACUGUUUAGAGGAUUUGCUGGUCGUACCUUUUCUUCAUGGACAUCAGAGCGAGUGGAGAUCUUCUUUGACGUGCAGCUACAGGUUGGAGCCACGCCCCUUGUUCGAUGUUGGCAAGGGCGGGUUAGCCACCCCCGGAGGAAAAAAUGGGAAGAAGCAGGUUUGGAUUGUGGUGGGUUGUGUUGCGGGCGCACUGAUAAUAUUAUUGGUCCUACUUCUACUUUGGUGGAAAUUGCCGGCUAAACGCCCUUCUGCCAUAAAGUUCUUUGAUGAUAUCAUAGCCAACGUCCAAGGAAAGACAAUUGUGAUGUUUUUAGACUACGACGGUACGUUAACGCCGAUUGUGAAAAAGCCUGAAAGGGCCUUCAUGUCCGAGCAGACGCGUAAUGCUGUUAGAGAACUUGCGAUGGCGUUCUCGACUUCAGUCGUCACCGGAAGGAGCUGUGAAAAGGCGAAAGGGUUCAUACAGCUCGACGAGCUGCACUAUGCAGGGAGCCAUGGGCAGGACAUCCAACUGAAUGACGGAACAGAUCCCUUCCAACCUAACAGCGAGUAUUUACAGAUAAUAGCUGAGGCCACAGAGCGUCUAAAAGAGGCUGUCAGAGAGAUCAAAGGUGCCAGUGUGGAAAACAACAAGUUCUGCGUUUCUGUGCACUACCGGGAAGUUCGCAGGGAAAAGGAUAAGGACUUACUUAAGAACAUCGUGAUGAGAAUUGUGACAGAAGAAUUUCCCAAUCUCAAGGUGACCAACGGUAAAAAGGUUCGAGAGGUUCGUCCAGGGCCGAAAUUCGACAAGGGAGACGCCGUCAAGUACCUCCUCCAGCAGCUCACCAACAAACAUAGCUGGGACAGCUCUCGGAUCUUACCAAUCUAUAUUGGUGAUGAUAAGACUGAUGAAGACGCUUUUAAGGUGCUUUCUGAGGAAGGUGGAUUUGGAAUCCGCGUCUGCAAGUGGCGCAAGAGGACUGCAGCUGAGUACUCUCUAAAGAACCCCAGUGAGGUGAAAGAGUUCCUGGAGAAGCUGGUGCGCUGGAGGAGAGAACAGGACCAAGUUUGA
rnacentral:rRNA from 1 species